CUUCAAUGAGUCGUGAUUUUAAUAUCCGUCACGCAUUCGUGAUUUUCAAUUGAGAAAAUAACGCGUUGAUUCCGCCAAUCAAACGCUUCAUCGAAACAUCGACAUUAAAAAUGAAGUUUCUCGUGAAAAUGUUAUUCACGAUGGCGUUAUUUACGAUCGUUUUGUCAAAACCGGCCCCACCGACGGAUUAUCAAAGCACCGAUCAGCCAUCCACAUCGAACCAAUACGGUGGUUAUCCUUAUUAAAUAUAAAUGUUCCAUAUAAAUCACCAUGUCCAGAGAAUCAACGGCAGGACCAAAAUGGAAAUUUGGCGAGUGAUGGAAUAAUUUCACUCAUUAAGGAGCAGAAUCUGUUUGACGAAAAUCGCGAAGAGGCAAUAACUGGCUAUUCAAGGAUAAGUCGAGAAGGAUAACGAGCAAAGCAAGACAAAUAUUACUCAUGCCGAUGUUGCGAUGGCAACUUUAUAAGAUUAUACUUUAUCUUAUUUUAUGUACAUAGACGUCACUGUUCACUUUUUAAGCUGUCAACCUCGCAAUUAUAUGUAUGAAUGUUUGACGAAUUGCGGUGAAAUAUAUUGAUUCAAAGUGCGGUAUGCCAA